rfam:Schistosoma curassoni strain Dakar, Senegal genome assembly, scaffold: SCTD_scaffold0000101
AGCCUUCUGUAUCCGUACUGAGAUUUCGUCACACACUAGUCCACAAGGGCUGAUGAGACUUCCAAGAUAAGUGAAUCG